rnacentral:rRNA from 1 species
CCUACGGGCGGCUGCAGUGGGGAAUAUUGCACAAUGGGGGAAACCCUGAUGCAGCGACGCCGCGUGAGUGAAGAAGUAUUUCGGUAUGUAAAGCUCUAUCAGCAGGGAAGAAAAUGACGGUACCUGAUUCAGAAGCCCCGGCUAACUACGUGCCAGCAGCCGCGGUAAUACGUAGGGGGCAAGCGUUAUCCGGAUUUACUGGGUGUAAAGGGAGCGUAGACGGCAGCACAAGUCUGGAGUGAAAUGCCGGGGCUUAACCCCGGAACUGCUUUGGAAACUGUGCAGCUAGAGGGCAGGAGAGGUAAGUGGAAUUCCUAGUGUAGCGGUGAAAUGCGUAGAUAUUGGGAGGAACACCAGUGGCGAAGGCGGCUUACUGGACUGUAACUGACGUUGAGGCUCGAAAGCGUGGGGAGCAAACAGGAUUAGAUACCCCUGUAGUC